CCUACGGGAGGCAGCAGUGGGGGAUAUUGCACAAUGGGGGAAACCCUGAUGCAGCGACGCCGCGUGUGGGAAGACGGUCCUCUGGAUUGUAAACCACUGUCCCCAGGGACGAAGAUGACGGUACCUGGGGAGGAAGCUCCGGCUAACUACGUGCCAGCAGCCGCGGUAAUACGUAGGGAGCGAGCGUUGUCCGGAAUUACUGGGGUUAAAGGGAGCGUAGGCGGGGAUGCAAGUUGGGUGUCAAAACUACCGGCUCAACUGGUAGUCGCACUCAAAACUGCAGCUAUUGAGUGAAGUAGAGGCAUGCGGAAUUCCUAGUGUAGCGGUGAAAUGCGUAGAUAUUAGGAGGAACACCAGUGGCGAAGGCGGCCUGCUGGGCUUUUACUGACGCUGAGGGUCGAAAGUGUGGGGAGCAAACAGGAUUAGAUACCCUAGUAGUC
rnacentral:rRNA from 1 species